rnacentral:rRNA from 1 species
CCUACGGGUGGCUGCAGUGGGGAAUAUUGGACAAUGGGCGAAAGCCUGAUCCAGCCAUGCCGCGUGUGUGAAGAAGGCCUUCGGGUUGUAAAGCACUUUCAGUGGGGAAGAAAGCCUUGGGGCUAAUACCCUCGAGGAAGGACAUCACCCACAGAAGAAGCACCGGCUAACUCCGUGCCAGCAGCCGCGGUAAUACGGAGGGUGCGAGCGUUAAUCGGAAUUACUGGGCGUAAAGCGCGCGUAGGCGGUCUGAUAAGCCGGUUGUGAAAGCCCCGGGCUCAACCUGGGAACGGCAUCCGGAACUGUCAGGCUAGAGUGCAGGAGAGGAAGGUAGAAUUCCCGGUGUAGCGGUGAAAUGCGUAGAGAUCGGGAGGAAUACCAGUGGCGAAGGCGGCCUUCUGGACUGACACUGACGCUGAGGUGCGAAAGCGUGGGUAGCAAACAGGAUUAAUACCCCAGUAGUC